GCAGUUAUUGUAAGCACUAUCAAUGCAAGCAAACCCUUCCUCCUCAGAACAGGCUGUAAUGGGCUAUAUGCACGCAUAACUUCCGCGUUUGACGCAAAGAUGCUCUUGCGUUUCCGGUUGGGGAGAUUUAAAGCGGAGGUAAACGGGAUUAUGGCAGAGUCCUCUAAAUUUUCUCGUUGUUUGCUUGAGUUGCCAAAAUGUUGUAUUAAUGAUGUGCGAAGAAUUGUACGAAUGUGCAGUACAACGCCACAGAGCAAGCUUGAGAAAGGUUUCAAGUUUUAUGUUUCAUCUUAUCUCUGCAAUUAUGAAGUGUGGUCCAGGAACAAAUCCAGGGCAGCAGGCUCAGCACUGGAGCAGUAGUCGUGGUCCGAAUAUUCCACAUCCAUAGAGGGGGCUUCAGUAGGCAAUGUGUCUAUGUUUGGUCGCUCUACCCUUUCCCAAACUCCAGUCCGUGGGGCUGGAAUACUGAAGAUGUUCCACUGAAAAAGCACCGGGACCGCUCCAUUUUUCAGACGUCUGCGUCCGGUUGGCGUUUGCGGCUCGAUCAGGUGCAGUGAGUUACCUGAUGAGUCCUGGAUUAAGCAGGCUUAUAAAGAAGCACUUCGCCCCAGUGUGAUGCCUCCUCUUACCAGCAGCUUGAUUUGUUUGCUUUGGUUUUUCUGAUGUAUUGUUCUUUAUUUUUUCCUUUUAUAUUGAAUUUUUCUAAUUACAUAUGUUGAUUAUGUUACUUUGUCUUUAAAAAUAAAUAAUAAUUGUAUUUAAAUCUUAUCCACGUGUGGCCUCUGCCUUGAGCUGGGUGGUUUGUAAAAAAAGAAACAAACUUAAAAACUGAGCCAUUUAAAUGUUACUCAAGUUGAU